rnacentral:rRNA from 1 species
CCUACGGGAGGCAGCAGUGGGGAAUAUUGGACAAUGGGCGAAAGCCUGAUCCAGCCAUGCCGCGUGAGUGAUGAAGGCCUUAGGGUUGUAAAGCUCUUUCACCCACGACGAUGAUGACGGUAGUGGGAGAAGAAGCCCCGGCUAACUUCGUGCCAGCAGCCGCGGUAAUA